UAUGAACAAGUCAAACUCUGUGUGGCAUUUUGUUUCCGGUCAUGUGAUCUAAACCACUGAAAUCAUGUGACCAAUCGCAUUUCUGCGCCUAGGCACUAGAAUUGGCGGUCUGACGUUCUGCUGUUUUGAUAUCAUCGUUAGUAUUUCGUUGUUGUUGACUUGUGUCUUGAUUGCUCUAUAUAGCGUCUCUAGUCUUUGUUGUUUUGUAGCUUACGUUGUUCUCGUAACUACAAAUGCAGGGUAUUUCAAUGAAUUUCAAGAUAGUAUAGUAGAAGUGAGUGGGCUUAGUUGGUAAACAGAGACUGGGUAGAGAGCCAUAGUGUUUGUAUGUCUGUUGAUAUUCUGGCAUAUAGUGUCUAAGUAUCUAGAGGGAUGUAAACGGAAGCGCACAUCUACAGCUUUGUUCUGUCAUCCUUUCUUGCCAUUUGUACAUGUAGUGACAGGUUUCUAUCUAUAGAGCAGUCACCAAGGUCACGUACUGGCAGCUGCAUGCAGCUCAUCGGAUGUUGAUGUUGUAAUUAAAGACCAUCAAAGCCACUGAUAUCAAAGAAUGUAAAUUUUAGUCAGUCACACGAACAUCCAAGUAGGUACUCAUGAAAUGUAUAGUCAAAAGCAUGAGCAUGCUGGCUAUUUACUGAAUAAGUUGUGUUUGCACAUUAAUCACUUUAUCAGUGGUGUUGUUACGGGGACAUCAGAGCCAAGUUUGACCUUGCCUUCAGACACGGAUCCUUUGACUUCAGAAGGCUCCUAAAAAUUUAAUGUGUCCCUGUGCCUGAGUCCAGUCUCUGUCAAUGUCAUGUCAGAGUCUGGACUCUGGGUCUUGCCAGUACGAGAAUUGUGGUAUCAAUGAUCUGUUUAUACGACGCUUCACGGAAGAUGACAGCUGAGGGUACCAUAGCAGCACGUGUAUACAGUAUGCCAGUUGUGACCGAAGCUGACCCUAGUGCGCAGCAAUUGUCUGGGUGUUCAAGGACUUUGGCUCCAAGUACACUGUACUGGGCAGCAACACCCAAAUUUGGCUCCAAACUUGACAACCACCUGCAACCCUGUUUACUUGUAGCAGUGACUAGACAAGACUCUAUAGUCAGUCAAAAAUUUUGAAUCUGGACCAUAAAUUGAAGAGCCAUGCCAAACUUGAUCAAUUAACUUGACGGCUUUUUCAAAGGCUUGUCUGAUGUCAUUGCUGUUGGUGUUCUUCAUGAGGUCUGUCAAUCCAUUAGCUCCUCAGAAACAACCAACAUUUGGUGACACGUGGGAGUUCUCGAUGAAGACUUGAAGGCAAUAACCAAAACUGAUAUUCCAUCUGAAACGGUUCGUAGCAUAAUCAGCCUCUGGAUUAACAAACAACUAAUGCCAAUUAAGAGGCAACACUGUUCAAGCUGUUAUAUGUGAUGCAGAGAAUUGGCCUGUUGGGAGAGAGAUCUCAAAGCAACAUUUGCAUGGAUAAACAAAGAUUUACGUGAUGUUAUUAUCAAAUUGCUUUAUAAACUUGUGGUAAGGACUAAACAUUGGUGUUUGUAUUAGUAAUAACUUUUAACUUUUAUGAUGGUGUAGUAGUAUAGCAGUAGACACAAUUGCAUUCUGGGUAUCAAUAGGAAUUUUGGUACUCAUAAUGGAGUUGGCUUGAGCCAUAUAUACUGAUUAGUCAGGGUGGUGGCAAAUACUCCGAAAC